GAUGAACGCUGGCGGCGUGCCUAAUACAUGCAAGUCGAGCGAACAGACGAGGAGCUUGCUCCUCUGACGUUAGCGGCGGACGGGUGAGUAACACGUGGAUAACCUACCUAUAAGACUGGGAUAACUUCGGGAAACCGGAGCUAAUACCGGAUAAUAUAUUGAACCGCGUGGUUCAAUAGUGAAAGACGGUUUUGCUGUCACUUAUAGAUGGAUCCGCGCCGCAUUAGCUAGUUGGUAAGGUAACGGCUUACCAAGGCGACGAUGCGUAGCCGACCUGAGAGGGUGAUCGGCCACACUGGAACUGAGACACGGUCCAGACUCCUACGGGAGGCAGCAGUAGGGAAUCUUCCGCAAUGGGCGAAAGCCUGACGGAGCAACGCCGCGUGAGUGAUGAAGGUCUUCGGAUCGUAAAACUCUGUUAUUAGGGAAGAACAAAUGUGUAAGCAACUAUGCACGUCUUGACGGUACCUAAUCAGAAAGCCACGGCUAACUACGUG
rnacentral:rRNA from 1 species